CGCAGGCUCCCAGCUCCCUGCAGCUCCGGGUUCCUCCAUCCUCUCCCACAGGGCAGAGAGCAGGUGGGCACUGCCGGGGUCAGAUGCCAGCGACGGCGUUUCUCCGGAGCAGCUCCUCCCCCAGGCGCUGCCCUGUAAAGCUGGGCUCUCAUUUCCUCUGCUCUCGUGGAAUAUUCCAGCCCCCAGCAGCUGUCUCCCCUCAAUUCACUCUGUACAGCUCUGACAGUGUUUAAUUUUACUUGAGAGUCGGUCUCGGAAACGAGCAAGGGUGAAGCAGCGUCCCGGCCACUGCGUUCUGGGGAACAGCCCCCGGCCAGGAGCCCCCCUCUAUUAGUUUGCCAGAGGAGGCCGGGAGCAGACCCCAAGUCCUCACUCUUUGCCUCGUAAAUGAUCAGCUGAACCGUCUGUCCCGCCGACCAGUCGGAGCCAAAUGCUUGUUGAUCAGAAUGGUGAAGCUGCGUUCCUUCCCCGGGACCCCGAGAUUUCAGUGCCUCCCGGAAAAGCAGCUGCGUCAGCCCCAAAGCUUCUCAGAUCCGCUCUCUGCUGACGGCGCCCUCUCGUCCCAGCUGCUGCAGGGGUCGCCGCUCUGUGUCAGACGCCCUCCGUGCCCGGCGCGGGGCCUCUCCCUCUGUGGCAACAACCCUCCUGGUAAAGUCACCGCCAACUGCAGAACCUGGCUUGCUCUCUGCUCUCGGGAGGGCUCAGUACAUCUGUGGAACGGAAUUGAAGAGACGCGGAUGGAGAAGCCCUUGGAAGGUUACUGAGACCCCGUGGGAGCUCCGCAGGGGUGUGGCUCUGCACCAGGGUGAGGACGCCUGCAACGGGACCCCACCCCCUGCUCAUGUCUCCUGCCCCUUUAGAAACGCCCCAUCCUGCCUCCUCCUCCGAUGCCGCUGAUACUGUCCUCCAUCUGGCUCGCCACGUCCAGCCGAGCUGGCCUUCCUCGCUGACCGCUGCCCCGGGGCCUUCGCCCUGCUGAUCGCCUGCUUUCCCCAUGGCCGCUGCCUCUCAGGCCACCAUCCCCACGAGGCCUCCCCUAAGCUCCAGAAAUAGAGCCAUCCUCCCCAGCCUUGGGGGGCUGAAUGACCCCACCAUCCCCAAAAUGACAUCCUCCCAGGACCUGUGAACCUGCCCUUACUUGGAAAAAGGAUCCCUGAAGACGCAUUUAAGUUGAGGACCACGGAUGAGAGCCUCCUGAUUACCAGGGUUCAUUGUAAGAAGAUGGGGCACCCCAUGGUGACGGAGUGGGGACCGGAGAGAGGCAGCCACAAGCUGAGAAGCUCCAAGACAGCUGGAGCCACCAGGAGACAGAAAAGCCAGGCAGGGCCACCCCUGGAGUCCCCGAGGGCACGCAGCCCUCCCCACCCCGACGCCGGACUCCUGCCUCCAGAACUGCGAAGGAAUGAUGUCGCUGCUUUGGGCCAUCAGUUUUCUCAUGCUUUGUUGCAGCAGCCCCAGGAAACCACAACCCCUCCUGUCUUGUCAGUCCCUCCCUCACCCAAUUUCUCUCUCUAGUGAGGCCAAGUGUGUUUGAUUGCUUUUCACUUGGCUUUGAAAUCACCUUCCUCAUGGAGCUAGGGCCCUGCGUCCCCAGGGAUGGAGCCCCUGAUGUGGGGUUACCCACGCACAUCUGUUCAAUGACUGACUGUCGGGGGUGACCGCUUGGCACCAUCUCCUCCCGGUGCCCGGCUCCACGAGUUGCCGGCUCAGCGACCGCCACGGCACACACCGUUGGCAGUGAGUGGGCAGGGAGUGAGGGCCCAGAAGCCUUGUUGCUCUAAGUCCAGGAUCACCCUCUGGUCACAAGCCCUUUCCAGGCGUCCUUCUCAUUGACCCUGAGCGUCCUGGCUGCUCAGCAGGUGUUUCUCACAGGACACUAAAGAGCACGGUCAUCUCUGAACUCCUGGGCAGGGCUCAGGCUUAUAUCCCUUUAUUUUACAUUUACGGUUUAAACAUUAUCUUUUCUUAGAAUUGUUUGACAUUUGCCUUGCUAGGUUUUAAUAAUCUGUAAACCAAUCCUACUUUUAAUAUUGGUGUUUGCAAACAUUUGCUUUAUUCCACCUCUUGUCCUAUCAUGAGAUUUCUCCAAUGCUUGAUAUAAAAGUCAAUAGAAAUAUGUCUUUGAGUGUAUUCUUCUAAGAAGAUUUGUGAGUGGAGUAUCUGCUGAACCCUCAUAGUCUGUGGAUUUCCUUCACAAUAGUCCAUUGGGAGGGCUAAGAAUUUAAAGGCUACAAAUACAACCCUCAAAACUCAUUAGUUGUAGCUCCAUAGUCAAAUGACACAGAGAAAUUAUUUCAGGCCCGUGAGAUUUUUCUUUUCUGAGAGUAACAUCUUAUUUCAUUCUUC